rnacentral:lncRNA from 1 species
AGGGAGACGGCCAUUCUGAAACUGCAUAUGCAAAAUGCCCAGACACGUAUGACAGCACGGCUUAUUUUGCCUUCACCCAUCUCGGCCUGCAGGUUCUUCCUGAGCCCCAGGUCCCUGGGACCCUGCUCUGUACCCUGUAACCCCAGGUGUAACCUUGCUCCCUACCCCCAGGCCCACGAUGCCAGCAGGAUGUGGACGAGUGUGCUGGCCCCGCACCCUGUGGCCCUCAUGGUAUCUGCACCAACCUGGCAGGGAGUUUCAGCUGCACCUGCCAUGGAGGGUACACUGGCCCUUCCUGCGAUCAGGACAUCAAUGACUGUGACCCCAACCCAUGCCUGAACGGUGGCUCGUGCCAAGACGGCGUGGGCUCCUUUUCUUGCUCCUGCCUCCCUGGUUUCGCCGGCCCACGAUGCGCCCGCGAUGUGGAUGAGUGCCUGAGCAACCCCUGCGGCCCGGGCACCUGUACCGACCACGUGGCCUCCUUCACCUGCACCUGCCCGCCGGGCUACGGAGGCUUCCACUGCGAACAGGACCUGCCCGACUGCAGCCCCAGCUCCUGCUUCAAUGGCGGGACCUGUGUGGACGGCGUGAACUCGUUCAGCUGCCUGUGCCGUCCCGGCUACACAGGAGCCCACUGCCAACAUGAGGCAGACCCCUGCCUCUCACGGCCCUGCCUACACGGGGGCGUCUGCAGCGCCGCCCACCCUGGCUUCCGCU